AUUGAACGCUGGCGGCAUGCUUUACACAUGCAAGUCGAACGAGUGGCGAACGGGUGAGUAAUAUAUAGGAACGUACCGAGUAAUGGGGGAUAACCAAUCGAAAGAUUGGCUAAUACCGCAUAUUAUUCGAGCGGCCGAUAAUUGAUUAGCUAGGUGGGGGGGUAAAGGCCUACCAAGGCGACGAUCAGUAGCGGGUCUGAGAGGACGAUCCGCCACACUGGGACUGAGACACGGCCCAGACUCCUACGGGAGGCAGCAGUGGGGAAUGUUGGGCAAUGGGCGCAACCCGGAUCCAGCCAUGCCGCGUGUGUGAAGAAGGCUUUCGGUUUGUAAAGUGCUUUUGUUAGGGAAGCGGUACCUAAAGAAUAAGCACCGGCUAACUACGUGCCAGCAGCCGCGGUAAUUC
rnacentral:rRNA from 1 species